rnacentral:lncRNA from 1 species
GAAAAAAUUCAUGUUAACAUCACGAAAAAAUUCAUUUUAAUUAUCUUAUUUUCUGUUAGCAAUGGUUGAGUGCCCGUCGAUAAAAGGAGUGUGUCAGUCGAAUAGCAAACUUAUGAAUUCAUGUAUUGCAACGAUUUUUGUGACAGUUUUCUUCUAUUUUUUUUGUCUCGCUGUUGUGUCUUAUCUUAGACGAAAUACAGUUCAACGUAACGAUGAUAACACAACGCAGCCGGUACAACUUCGACGAAAUAAUCAUUUUU